UACGGAGGGUGCGAGCGUUGUCCGGAAUCACUGGGCGUAAAGGGCGCGUAGGCGGCUCAUGAAGGCUGUGGUGAAAGUCCGGGGCUCAACCUCGGAUCGGCCGUGGCGACUCGUGGGCUGGAGCACUGUAGAGGCGGGUGGAAUUCCGGGUGUAGCGGUGGAAUGCGUAGAGAUCCGGAAGAACACCGGUGGCGAAGGCGGUGGUCUGGGCCUGAACUGACGCUGAGGAGCGAAAGCCAGGGGAGCAAACGGG
rnacentral:rRNA from 1 species